GACGAACGCUGGCGGCGUGCUUAGCACAUGCAAGUCGAACGGAAAGGCCCUGCUUGCAGGGUGCUCGAGUGGCGAACGGGUGAGUAACACGUGGGUGAUCUGCCCCUUACUUUGGGAUAAGCCUGGGAAACUGGGUCUAAUACUGGAUAGGACCAUGCUGUAGGUGGUGUGGUGGAAAGAUUAGUUUCGGUAAGGGAUGAGCUCGCGGCCUAUCAGCUUGUUGGUGGGGUAAUGGCCUACCAAGGCGUCGACGGGUAGCCGGCCUGAGAGGGUGGACGGCCACAUUGGGACUGAGAUACGGCCCAGACUCCUACGGGAGGCAGCAGUGGGGAAUAUUGCACAAUGGGCGCAAGCCUGAUGCAGCGACGCCGCGUGGGGGAUGACGGCCUUCGGGUUGUAAACUCCUUUCAGCCAUGACGAAGCCCUUGUGGUGACGGUAGUGGUAGAAGAAGCACCGGCUAACUACGUG
rnacentral:rRNA from 1 species